rnacentral:rRNA from 1 species
UGGGGAAUAUUGCACAAUGGGCGCAAGCCUGAUGCAGCCAUGCCGCGUGUGUGAAGAAGGCCUUCGGGUUGUAAAGCACUUUCAGCGAGGAGGAAGGUGGUGAGCUUAAUACGCUCAUCAAUUGACGUUACUCGCAGAAGAAGCACCGGCUAACUCCGUGCCAACAGCCGCGGUAAUACGGAGGGUGCAAGCGUUAAUCGGAAUUACUGGGCGUAAAGCGCACGCAGGCGGUUUGUUAAGUCAGAUGUGAAAUCCCCGGGCUCAACCUGGGAACUGCAUUUGAAACUGGCAAGCUAGAGUCUCGUAGAGGGGGGUAGAAUUCCAGGUGUAGCGGUGAAAUGCGUAGAGAUCUGGAGGAAUACCGGUGGCGAAGGCGGCCCCCUGGACGAAGACUGACGCUCAGGUGCGAAAGCGUGGGGCAGCAAACAGGAUUAGAUACCCUGGUAGUCCACGCUGUAAACGAUGUCGAUUUUGGAGGUUGUGCCCUUGAGGCGUGGCUUCCGGAGCUAACGCGUUAAAUCGACCGCCUGGGGAGUACGGCCGCAAGG